UUGACGUUGGAUUACCAGUGAGCGGCGGACGGGUGAGUAACACGUGGGCAACCUGCCCUGAAGCGGGGGAUAACAUCUGGAAACAGGUGCUAAUACCGCAUAACAACGAAAACCACAUGGUUUUCGUUUCAAAGAUGGUUUCGGCUAUCACUUCAGGAUGGGCCCGCGGUGCAUUAGCUAGUUGGUAAGGUAACGGCUUACCAAGGCAAUGAUGCAUAGCCGAGUUGAGAGACUGAUCGGCCACAAUGGAACUGAGACACGGUCCAUACUCCUACGGGAGGCAGCAGUAGGGAAUCUUCCACAAUGGGCGCAAGCCUGAUGGAGCAACACCGCGUGAGUGAAGAAGGGUUUCGGCUCGUAAAGCUCUGUUGUUGGAGAAGAACGUGCGUGAGAGUAACUGUUCACGCAGUGACGGUAUCCAACCAGAAAGUCACGGCUAACUACGUGCCAGCAGCCGCGGUAAUACGUAGGUGGCAAGCGUUGUCCGGAUUUAUUGGGCGUAAAGCGAGCGCAGGCGGUUGCUUAGGUCUGAUGUGAAAGCCUUCGGCUUAACCGAAGAAGGGCAUCGGAAACCGGGCAACUUGAGUGCAGAAGAGGACAGUGGAACUCCAUGUGUAGCGGUGGAAUGCGUAGAUAUAUGGAAGAACACCAGUGGCGAAGGCGGCUGUCUGGUCUGCAACUGACGCUGAGGCUCGAAAGCAUGGGUAGCGAACAGGAUUAGAUACCCUGGUAGUCCAUGCCGUAAAACGAUGAGUGCUAGGUGUUUGGAGGGUUUUCCGCCCUUCAGUGCCGGAGCUAACGCAUUAAGCA
rnacentral:rRNA from 1 species